rnacentral:misc_RNA from 1 species
AGACUGCAGGAGCUGCUGGUUGGUCUAUACUUGUAUCAUUAAUUGAUUUACUUUCGCAAUGAGUACUGGUCCCACUAACAGAGCUAUCAACUUUGGAUCUUGAAGAAAUGCAGCUCCCCAUGAACCUGAACUUGAUCCAACACCCAGUCUCUGCCUCCUCCACAACAUCACCACCACCACCACCACUGUCUUUCUUCUUCUUCUNNNNGGCCCACAUCCCAAGAAGUCUUCAUCUUUCCAUCUUCACUGCCUAAUCCCAUUCUCUUCUCCCUCCAAAAACCCUAAAAACCCAGACCCACUUUUCAUCCAAAAACCCUCAAAUCCCAAGUCCCCACCAAAAUCUAUCUUCACAGAACCCAAAAAGAGGGGGAAAGGGAAAUUUAAAAAAAAAGGCAGAAAAGCACAGAAAUUUAACAAUUUCUGUCGCACCAAAAACCCAGUUGAGCAAAAGAGCUAGAUGAAAUGAAGAAGGUCAAAAAUG